GCCGGGAGCGGGGUUACACGCCUGUAAUCCCAGCCCCUCAGGAGGCUGAGGCAGGAGGAUCAUGAGUUGAAAGCCAGCCUCAGCAAAAGUGUGGUCUCAAGCAACUCAGUGAGACCCUGUCUCUA
rnacentral:sRNA from 1 species